AGCCUUUGAAGUAAUAACAUUAUUUGCUAUUCUUGAUGGGAUAAACCCCUAUGUGAUGAUCCUUAUCCACCAAGAUCUCUGAGGCU